rnacentral:lncRNA from 1 species
GACAACCUUCUGUGGUAAGGGGUGAACAUCCUUGGGAAGCCACAGAGAGCAAGGCGCAGUUUUUCAUUGAUCACCACUUUCAAGAUGCUCCCAGAAUCGUGCUGUCUAGGAAGCCAUUUAAACUGGUGAGAAGCCAUCCUCUCUUGAAUGGGGGCUCCCACUGUACAUCUGGCACCCACUUCACAGAUUCUGGGGGAUGUCAACACCAGCACUGCUGAGCUGUGUGACCUUGAGCAAGACAGUUAGCCUCUCUGAACCUCAGUGUCCUUCUCUGUAGGCUGGAGAUUGAUAUACCUUCAUUAUCGGGGUAUGAGAGUGUUAUAAGGUGGGAUGGUGGAACACGCUGACUGGUCUGGGCUAUUCAAGAAUGGCUUUGGUGAGUGUCAGAUCAAAGUCUACAUUUAUUACAUCAGAAGAGCUGUUUCUGCAUGGACUUGGCAGUUGUCUAAAAGAAUAUCAGAAAUUAAGAAGAAUGGAGCAUAAGUAAACAAUGAUUCUCUUUCA